AACGAACGCUGGCGGCAGGCUUAACACAUGCAAGUCGAACGGGCACCUUCGGGUGUCAGUGGCAGACGGGUGAGUAACGCGUGGGAACGUACCCUUCGGUUCGGAAUAACCCAGGGAAACUUGGGCUAACACCGGAUACGUCCGCAAGGAGAAAGAUUUAUCGCCGAAGGAUCGGCCCGCGUCGGAUUAGCUAGUUGGUGGGGUAAUGGCCCACCAAGGCGACGAUCCGUAGCUGGUCUGAGAGGAUGAUCAGCCACACUGGGACCGAGACACGGCCCAGACUCCUACGGGAGGCAGCAGUGGGGAAUAUUGGACAAUGGGCGAAAGCCUGAUCCAGCCAUGCCGCGUGAGUGAAGAAGGCCUUAGGGUUGUAAAGCUCUUUCAGCGGGGAAGAUAAUGACGGUACCCGCAGAAGAAGUCCCGGCUAACUUCGU
rnacentral:rRNA from 1 species